rnacentral:rRNA from 1 species
AUUGAACGCUGGCGGCAUGAUUUACACAUGCAAGUCGAACGGUAACAGGCCGCAAGGUGCUGACGAGUGGCGAACGGGUGAGUAAUGCAUCGGAACGUGCCCAGUCGUGGGGGAUAACUACUCGAAAGAGUAGCUAAUACCGCAUACGAUCUAUGGAUGAAAGCGGGGGACCGUAAGGCCUCGCGCGAUUGGAGCGGCCGAUGUCAGAUUAGGUAGUUGGUGGGGUAAAGGUUCACCAAGCCAACGAUCUGUAGCUGGUCUGAGAGGACGACCAGCCACACUGGGACUGAGACACGGCCCAGACUCCUACGGGAGGCAGCAGUGGGGAAUUUUGGACAAUGGGCGCAAGCCUGAUCCAGCAAUGCCGCGUGCAGGAAGAAGGCCUUCGGGUUGUAAACUGCUUUUGUACGGAACGAAACGGCUCUGGUUAAUACCCGGGGCUAAUGACGGUACCGUAAGAAUAAGCACCGGCUAACUACGUG